ensembl:lncRNA
GGGAAGUUUACUAAAGGGGUGGGUGGCACAGCAAGCCCCGGAUUUGAAUUAGUCAGCCAGCUGGGCUCUUUCUGUGUGUUUCUUUCUGUGUCAAGGCUGAAGGAACGGACUCGAGCGCAGACUCUGGGAUUAAAUCAAACAGUUCUUAUUUACAACACCAAGUGAGCUAUAUACAAAGUGAGUGGAAAGGUCAGGGCUCCAGACAUCCACAGGCAGGAAGGGGAAAGGUGCUCCACACUCGCUCGCGGAUCCACGCUCCACUCGUCCCAAUCUCCGCACACUUGCUCUGUACUAACACCCGACACCAAACUACCAAACACUUACGCCCAGGAAUCAGGGAAGAGGGUUACAGGACGGGUCCAGGAAGUCUAUGUACAAACAAGCAGAACCAGGAAACCACUGGGGAAAACAUGAGAGAUGAUGGGCGCUAACGUGUGUCUAAACAACGGUCCAGCAGCGAGAAGCUGUGAGCCACCGCCUUAAGUAGUGGCCAGGGAAGGCAGGAUAAUGAGCCACAGGUGCGUGAUUACUGGCAGGUGAGUGGGAGCCACAGUGAGCUCCGCCCAGGCAGAGCAAAGACAGAAGAGAGAAAGAGCAAAAAAAAAACAAACAAAACAAAACAUGUAGCCUCACUGGGCCGGCCAGGAAGACACAGGGACCAUGACCAUUUGCAUGUUAUUGUCAUAACUGCUGGAUCAUGACACCUUAUACUGUCCACUUUCCUCACUUGCACAUUGUCUCACAAGUAUCAUAUAUAACCUACAUUUAUACUAACUUAUCCCAAACUCUUUGUCUAAUUUCUUUAAAGUGAGGUACUGAAACACUUUUUUUUUUUUUAAUGAAAUCGCUCUUCUAUGAAGCUGGUAUCCUUUGUGUGUUGUCCCUUAUUUGAUGAAUGUUUCAUUAAAUAUUUUAGCUGACAUACAGUAUUUCUUCAGUCUCUGUUAUCUUUGAAAUAAUCAAUAAUGAAUAAAUGAAAUCAGUAGAUUUGAACAAAUGUUCACUGCACCACAUGAGUUCAUUUUGACUUUGUUUGAAAAGACUGACAACGAAAUUUAAAACGUUUGUUUAAUUUUUUUUGUCUUCUGAAAGAAGCCAGUAUAGCAGGGUGUAUGAGCUCAAAGUUAACUUAUUCAUGUGAAGUUACUCUAGA